GGCGCGGUGGCGGAACUGGCAGACGCGCACGACUCAAAAUCGUGUGGGCCAUUGGCCCAUGUGGGUUCGAUUCCCUCCCGCGCCA
rnacentral:tRNA from 1 species